AAUCACCUCCCUGGUUGCUGAUCAGCAGACACACCUGCGGUCCAUCAACUCAUCUACCCAGCAGUAUAUCUACCUCGGUUCAUCAGUCACUCCCUGCCACAUUGUUGACUCUGCCAGUGUGGUAUUUAGGAUCAUUUGCCUGCCUGCCUGCCUGCUACCCUGCUUUGCAUUUCUCAGCGUGCUAAGCCACGUCCACAACUCCACUCAACCUGUCUGGUCUGCUGCCAUCAUCAGCCUUCACCAGCAAAGAUUAAUCUUCUCGCCCACCUCCAACAUCUACAAGCCUGCCAAUAAACCUUCUCUAUUUUUCAACUCCAA